rnacentral:misc_RNA from 1 species
ACAGCCAGAGAGCCGACUGUAAUUUGAUUUUUUUGAUUCACUUCAAAGGAUACUUACCCCACCUAUAAAAAGAUUAUGAAUGGUCUAUUAUUCAUUGUUUCCUUCACAUUUACAACAGGCAGUAUCACUUUCUGAGCCACACUUUUUGUGUGAUAACACACCCGAGUACACCUUCAAUUUCGUAGCCAUAAACACAGGAGCCGGUGAUCUAACGAUGGACACAUUCGUCAUGUUACUGUUCGCGUUGAUCGUAGUAGUGAUAGCGCUAGUUUUCCUCUCGAAGCUACUGUACGAUAAGUAUGUAAAGAAGGGCGGCUCCGUAACGGCGGAGGGAGGAGCCUCGACGACGAUAUCUUCGACCUCGGCCGGACUCGUGGCCGGCAGUUCGGCGCUGCUGCCGAGCAAGGAUGGCGCAGCCGUCGGUUUGCGACUGUCCGAGCCGAAGGAGGUGCUGGCAACGAAAAAGGAAGCUCUCCUUGCCCAAGCAAGGAAUGGUGGUGGCGCUCUGGGUGGUGGUGCCCGAGUUGGUGGUGGCCUGGGCGGCGGUGCUGCAUUUGGUCCCAAAGCCGGUGGUAUCGGCGGUGGAGGUGGUGGCGGAGCCGUUCUCCGGAAACGAAUCUCCCGCAAGAGUCCUGGUCCCGAGCUGACCCAGAAGAAGCGAACGAUCGUCCCUCCGUCCAACAUCAAUGGAUCGGAUAUUCAAUCGGUACAAUGGGCCAUCCACAUGUUCCGGUGGCUCUACUCUGAUCUGGUCGUUGUGAACAAGCUGCUGCAGGACUGGGUUGGUACCGUCAACACGGCGUUGCUAUCCUAUGUGGAACAGCACGAGAUGAUCGUCGAAGUGGUGCGGAUACUGCCGGAGAGUCUACCCCCGAACAUGCCGAGCAUCCUGUGCGAGCCGGCCGAGCAGCCGAACGAAGUGGAGCUCAUGUUCGACCUGGAGGCCACCCCAGUCCUGCAGAUCAAGGCGUUCAAAUCGACCAACCAGAAGACGGACGUCUCCCACUACAAGGCGACCGUGUCCCGGUUGAAGACCCGCAUGAGCCUGAUUAUCAACUUUUUCGCGCUCAAGGGUGAAAUGAAGGUGGAAGGCUUCCCGGAUAUCAAGAUCCACCUGAACAGCAUUGGCCCGCUUAAGACGGCCAACGCCCAGGACGAGAAGAAGCAGGGCGAUCUGAUCGUCGAGCUGCUCUCGUCCUCGAUCCGGGACGUCGUCUAUCCGAUCGACUUCUCCAUCUACUCGACCUGUCCGCGCCUGAUGGGCGAGGAGCCGGAGGAUGUGAUGCCGCUGGAUUACUCCGCGUACGGGCAAUACGAUACCUACCGUUCGUACCAGGACGAUUCGUUCGGCACUAGCGUGUCUGCUUCGCCAAGGAAGCUUCUAGUCAAGAUCAUCAAAGCUGAAGGACUUUUACAGUGUUCGAAACCGUUCUGCGUCGCCGAAAUGGACGAACCUGCUCAGAAGCACCAAUCUGCGUGCAAAAUGGGACCAAAUCCGUUCUGGGACGAUACUUUCCUCUUUGAUCUGUCCAACAAUUCUACCGAACUUCUGUUCGAAGUGUAUGACUCUGUAGCAGUAGGUAAUGACCAUGACAAUGAAGAUGAUGAUGAUGUGAAUGCCGUGUUGAAUGUUGACCCCUUGUUGCUAGUAGACCAAUCCGCCGCCAAAGUCGACGGGGGUGGUGACGUUGACGUCGAAGCUGUCACCCCCUCGGCUCCGUCGUCUUCGCUAGAUGUUGUUGUUGAGAGUGCCGAUAAGAUUGUUGCGUUGCAUGACGAUAAUACUACCCCUACUAACAACAGUAAUGACCCGCCGCCGCAACAGCAGUGUGUUGACGUUGAACCUUCUUCUAACCUUGACAAACAACCCACUAACGACAGCAGUAGUGUGCCCGAUCAGGUCCGAGACGACGAACCCUCCCAAGUCGGGGGUGACGACGAUCAGCCGGAGAAAGCGCCCGCUGAAUCCGAUGAGGUUGAUUCAGCCGCGCCCGUUACAAAAACUAAAAACAAGUGUAAUUUCCAGAAGUUCUUGGGACUGGGUCUGGUCGGUAUCGAUGAGCUGUCGAACGGUCCGGCUUCGACCCAAGUCCUCGAGCUGCAGCCCAGGCCAUACGAGACGGAAAACAUCAGCGGUACAUUGACGGUUGAGUUUGUGUUCAUCGACGCUCCUCCUGCACCGGCUCCUCGACGACAGCACAUGCAGCAAUCCUUCCGAGCCGGUGAGGACGCGUUAAGCACAAGCACUCCGAAAUCCACCCUGGCAGGACACCCGACCGCCCAAGGAAUUGGCGCCAGCGGAAAGCAACUCCAGAUCGCAUCGGCACCGACUUCCCCAGCCAAGAGUGGCCUCUCCAGCAGCGUCAGCUUUGCCGAUCGCAACCAGCGCUUCCAAGCGGCCAACACGAACCGGCUGAACAACUCCUUCCUGAAGCCCCCUUCGGUGUCCGACUACGGCUUGAAUGGCACCCGGCAGCAGUCCGAAUCGACGCCCGUUUCCCCGGCGCUCUCGUCCGCUUCGCAGCAAAGCUACACCGGCCAACUUAGCGCCAGCGCCCCGGAAAGCGUCAGCAAGCUGGAGAAGAAACCGCGCAACAUCUUCGGCACGCUGCGCAACAAGCUGACCCUCUCGAAGAAGUCCAAAUCGAUGGACUGCCCCGAGUACGGUGGACCGACCUACCCGGGCCAGAUUCACAGCGCGUCGUCCACGCUGAGUCGUGGCUCGUCGAUGGACCAGCGUUCCAACAUCUUCCCCAACAUAAAGAAUCUCUCGCGGAAAUCUUCCAUCUCUGAAUCGUCGGCCGUUUCGGGCAUUUCGAACGCCAGCGGCCGCACCUACGUCCACGAAGAGUCUACGCUGCUGCUGGAGACGACGGAGAACAACGUAGUGCGACACUACCUGGUCCCGAUCGAGGUCGCCGUGAGGCAAAAGUCGUGGAAGCGCAAGGGCACCAAGCUGCACGUGUACAACGAUCACACCUUCAUUGCGAAACACAUCAGGGGCGGCAUCCUGUGCCACGUGUGCCACCGUAGCAUCCUGCGUCGCCCCGGCAAGCAGGGUUACGAGUGCCGUGACUGCCUCAUCCAGUGCCACAAACCGUGCCACGUGCGAGCACCACAAGCCUGCCCGAAUCCGAAGAUCCUGUCGAUGCAACUCGCAUCAUUACCCGUUCUUAACGAGUAAAUCAAUCCACCCCCGCAAGCUAGCAAGCAAAGCCAUAUUGAAGCCCCCGAGUUUUGAGUUUAAGUUUUUAAGCGCUUCAUUGAAGAAAACCAAACAAAAUAUACACAAUUCUCAAGUUAAAAUGGCCGUUCCCCUUGAACUGAUAGAUCGGACAGCUUGAGACAGUCGCGUACGAGAGCGAGCAUUUAGGAACCAGGGGGUGAAUAACACCAGGAAACCAAAAAAAGAAACAAUCGAACAAAUCAGAAACGUCGUUACCAUACGCCAAGGUAAAUUACUCGAAUUAGUAUCACAGAAUGCCAACCUUAGCCAACCCAGCCAGAAUUGUGAGGGGUGGGGUCAAAUCCGAAUUUCUACAAAACGGUCAUGGUUACAGCCUGUAAGUUUACAAAAAAAAAACUCGCUUAAAGUCACUAAAAUUUAUGACCAAAUUUUUGCCACACAAUUGUGUCGUCCAUGUCCAUGCCUUUCGAAAAUCUAUUGUGUUACAAGUGCGUUCUGUAAGUAUGAGCUUAAUAAGUCGUAUUACUGAUGAUACAAAAAAGAGGAGCGCAUCAAACAAAUCUCCACUUUCUACAAAAUAGGUUGUGAGACAAAACCUAGCACAAAACACACACAUGUUACAUACACCACUGUUAAAGUCUUUUUAAAUAUUAAAAAAAUAUAUAUUAUACGAAUACAAAGCUUUAUCUGUGUCGCGCCGUUUCUUCUACACUAAUUGAAUCUUUUAACUAUUUAUUGAAAAACACACAGUCACACAAGUCUAUUGUUGCGAAAUGAUUAUUCUAACGUAUUCUAACUGUUCGGGACUAAGGAUGCCUUCGGCGCGAGUGAAACAAACUAAGAGUUAGGGAAUUAUUGAAGAGGGGGAGAAACCAAGUCAGGUUCGAGUUUUGACUUAUUUUUUCAGGAAUAAAGUGCAAUUGGUAAAGUUAUGAAAGA